rnacentral:rRNA from 1 species
GACGAACGCUGGCGGCGUGCUUAACACGUGCAAGUCGAACGGAAAGGCCCUGCUUUUGUUGGGUGCUCGAGUGGCGAACGGGUGAGUAACACGUGAGUAACCUGCCCUUGACUUUGGGAUAACUUCAGGAAACUGGGGCUAAUACCGGAUAUGAUCUCCUGCUGCAUGGUGGGGGUUGGAAAGUUUCGGCGGUUGGGGAUGGACUCGCGGCUUAUCAGCUUGUUGGUGGGGUAGUGGCUUACCAAGGCUUUGACGGGUAGCCGGCCUGAGAGGGUGACCGGCCACAUUGGGACUGAGAUACGAGCCAGACUGCUACGGGAGGCAGCAGUGGGGACUAUUGCACAAUGGGCGGAAGCCUGAUGCAGCAACGCCGCGUGCGGGAUGACGGCCUUCGGGGUGGAAACCGUUUUCGCCGGAGACGAAGCGUGAGUGACGGUAAUGGGUAAAGAAGCACCGGCUAACUACGUG